UUCACAACACAUGUUUCAUAAGCUAUAGUCCAAAACAGAGAGAGAGUUGAAUUGGAAUACCAGUCAAAAGAUCGGCAGAUGAGGUCGGUGUUAAGCGCAGACUGAGAACAACGAGCGAUUGCCGAUCGCGAUCGCGAUCGCGAUUGCCGAUGAUGGUGAAGGGGACGAACUAACGCGGAUGAGAUCGGUAUUAGGCGGAGACUGAGAGCAACAAGCGAUUUCCGAUCGCGAUCGCGAUCGCCGAUGACGGUGAAGGGGACGAGCUAACGCGGAUGAGAUCGGUAUUAGGCGGAGACUGAGAGCAACAAGCGAUUUCCGAUCGCGAUCGCGAUCGCCGAUGACGGUGAAGGGGACGAGCUAACGCGGAUGAGAUCGGUAUUAGGCGGAGAUUGAGAGCAACAAGCGAUUAUGGUGAAGGCGACAAGCGUGGUGUCAGCGAAAUCGGGAGAAUUGUUUUGAGGCGUUCAAUCUGGGGUAGCAACUAUGAGUCUAUGAGUGCGCAUAGGUUACUCACAGCCAAAGAAAAAGAGGAAAAGCUAUAGCAAAAGAUAUUUCUGUGAUUGCACAUGGGUAUAUGAUUGCACUUAAGAAAAAGAGAAAAGAUUUGCCUCUACUCCUAAAACAUCAAAGAGCCCGUCAGAUGUUCGGAGGUCUAUUCUCUCUCAACUGGAAGGGAAAAGGUUCUGAGUUUAGGUUCUACUAAAACAGGCUCCAUUCAGAGGAACAUGAUUGUCUGCAAUUCUUGAUUGGGGAUUGUGAACAAGCAAUCCAAUUAUCAUGGGAGAAGAAUUACAAAAUUCGUAAGGUUUGUAGGUGGAAAGACAAAUCCUUUGGAGCAGUCCAAGUCUGAAAAGAAGGAGUAAAACGAGGUUGUUUUGCUACAACUAAAUACGUAGUAAAUAGUUGCAUGCUUCUUUCCACUAGGAGUUAUGCUCAAUUGGUUUCUCUUCAGAUUGGAAAAUUUGCUUAAAGAAUGAAUGGCUAGGGAUCUUCAAGCCAAUUCGCUAUCUUGUUACAUCUUCCACGACAGGUCGUGAAUGCAAAUCUCAUGUGAAGACCUACGAUGAAAGAAGAACCCAAGGCUUUUGCUAAAGCCACCAUGGAAAAAUCACUCAUUAACUCAAACAGCUCGACCGAUUCCUCAAUACGGUCUUUCAACAGAAAGCUUCAAGGCCUUGGUGGGUCUCUCUUCUUCCUCUUUACUUUCAUCAUCAACAACAUUGAUGACAUUCAAAGCUGCUACUGUUGGUGGUCAAGACCAAGAAGCACCAAGACCUUAGAGUGGGUAACGGAUUGUAGAUGGUUGAUUUUGGACUGUGGAUUGCUACAUGGAGAUGGGAAAGAGAAAUUGGUACCAUUGCAGAAAAGAGAAAUUGUAGAUGGUUAAGCCACGGUGGUGCAUAUAGGCCAAGAUUGAAUAAUUGAAUUCAUGAUUUGCUGAGCUUGAUUCAGGUUUGAUAUUUUCUGUGUUCAUAUUCAA